GGGUUGCUCUGACGCUCCGUG
rnacentral:snRNA from 1 species